UAUCUCUGUAGAGUCUGCAUAUCAAUAAGCGGAGGAAAAGAAACUAACAAGGAUUCCCUUAGUAACGGCGAGUGAAGCGGGAAGAGCUCAAAUUUGAAAUCUUCAAGGGUUCUACCUUGACGAAUUGUAGUUUAAAGAAGUGUUUUCUGUUAGUAGAGGUGGCUAAAAGUUCUUUGGAAUAGGACAUCAUAGAGGGUGAGAAUCCCGUAUUUGAUCAUUUUACUAACGUUGUGAUACACUUUCAAAGAGUCGGAUUGUUUGGGAAUGCAGUCCAAAAUGGGUGGUAAAUUUCAUCUAAAGCUAAAUACUGGCGAGAGACCGAUAGCGAACAAGUACCGUGAGGGAAAGAUGAAAAGAACUUUGAAAAGAGAGUUAAACAGUACGUGAAAUUGUCAAAAGGGAAGCGUUUGACACCAGUGUUGUUUUUCCGAAAAUCAAUUACUAAAUGUUUUAGUUUUUGAGGAGUUAUGACUUCAUCGGCUUGCUCCUUUCUUUAUGAAACUUUCUUAAUGCACUUUUCGGUUAACAAGUCAACAUCAAUUUCUUUUGUUGUAAAAGGGUAUGAGGAAGGUGGCUUUCUUUUCGGAGAAAGUGUUUAUAGCCUUGUGCCUCUGCAAUCGGAGAGAUUGAGGUCUGCAGCGUAGAUCCUUCGGGGUUAGAUACAUUUGUGCUAAGUUAUAGCUUUUCAUAGACAACUUGUUGACUAUGUUAAGUCUUGUAAUUUACUCGCAGAUGCUAUUUUACCUACGCUUAGGAUGUUGAGUAGCGACAUACGCAC
rnacentral:rRNA from 1 species